rnacentral:rRNA from 1 species
UACGUAGGGUGCAAGCGUUACUCGGAAUUACUGGGCGUAAAGCGUGCGCAGGCGGUUUCGUAAGUCUGUCGUGAAAUCCCCGGGCUUAACCUGGGAGUGGCGAUGGAGACUGCGAGGCUAGAGUUUGGCAGAGGGGGGUAGAAUUCCACGUGUAGCAGUGAAAUGCGUAGAGAUGUGGAGGAACACCGAUGGCGAAGGCAGCCCCCUGGGUCAAAACUGACGCUCAUGCACGAAAGCGUGGGGAGCAAACAGG